UUAAGCGACUAAGCGUACACGGUGGAUGCCCUGGCAGUCAGAGGCGAUGAAGGACGUGCUAAUCUGCGAUAAGCGUCGGUAAGGUGAUAUGAACCGUUAUAACCGGCGAUUUCCGAAUGGGGAAACCCAGUGUGUUUCGUCACACUAUCAUUAACUGAAUCCAUAGGUUAAUGAGGCGAACCGGGGGAACUGAAACAUCUAAGUACCCCGAGGAAAAGAAAUCAACCGAGAUUCCCCCAGUAGCGGCGAGCGAACGGGGAGCAGCCCAGAGCCUGAAUCAGUGUGUGUGUUAGUGGAAGCGUCUGGAAAGGCGCGCGAUACAGGGUGACAGCCCCGUACACAAAAAUGCACAUGCUGUGAGCUCGAUGAGUAGGGCGGGACACGUGGUAUCCUGUCUGAAUAUGGGGGGACCAUCCUCCAAGGCUAAAUACUCCUGACUGACCGAUAGUGAACCAGUACCGUGAGGGAAAGGCGAAAAGAACCCCGGCGAGGGGAGUGAAAAAGAACCUGAAACCGUGUACGUACAAGCAGUGGGAGCCUCUCUUUAUGGGGGGUGACUGCGUACCUUUUGUAUAAUGGGUCAGCGACUUAUAUUCUGUAGCAAGGUUAACCGAAUAGGGGAGCCGAAGGGAAACCGAGUCUUAACUGGGCGUUAAGUUGCAGGGUAUAGACCCGAAACCCGGUGAUCUAGCCAUGGGCAGGUUGAAGGUUGGGUAACACUAACUGGAGGACCGAACCGACUAAUGUUGAAAAAUUAGCGGAUGACUUGUGGCUGGGGGUGAAAGGCCAAUCAAACCGGGAGAUAGCUGGUUCUCCCCGAAAGCUAUUUAGGUAGCGCCUCGUGAAUUCAUCUCCGGGGGUAGAGCACUGUUUCGGCAAGGGGGUCAUCCCGACUUACCAACCCGAUGCAAACUGCGAAUACCGGAGAAUGUUAUCACGGGAGACACACGGCGGGUGCUAACGUCCGUCGUGAAGAGGGAAACAACCCAGACCGCCAGCUAAGGUCCCAAAGUCAUGGUUAAGUGGGAAACGAUGUGGGAAGGCCCAGACAGCCAGGAUGUUGGCUUAGAAGCAGCCAUCAUUUAAAGAAAGCGUAAUAGCUCACUGGUCGAGUCGGCCUGCGCGGAAGAUGUAACGGGGCUAAACCAUGCACCGAAGCUGCGGCAGCGACACUGUGUGUUGUUGGGUAGGGGAGCGUUCUGUAAGCCUGCGAAGGUGACCUGUGAGGGUUGCUGGAGGUAUCAGAAGUGCGAAUGCUGACAUAAGUAACGAUAAAGCGGGUGAAAAGCCCGCUCGCCGGAAGACCAAGGGUUCCUGUCCAACGUUAAUCGGGGCAGGGUGAGUCGACCCCUAAGGCGAGGCCGAAAGGCGUAGUCGAUGGGAAACAGGUUAAUAUUCCUGUACUUGGUGUUACUGCGAAGGGGGGACGGAGAAGGCUAUGUUGGCCGGGCGACGGUUGUCCCGGUUUAAGCGUGUAGGCUGGUUUUCCAGGCAAAUCCGGAAAAUCAAGGCUGAGGCGUGAUGACGAGGCACUACGGUGCUGAAGCAACAAAUGCCCUGCUUCCAGGAAAAGCCUCUAAGCAUCAGGUAACAUCAAAUCGUACCCCAAACCGACACAGGUGGUCAGGUAGAGAAUACCAAGGCGCUUGAGAGAACUCGGGUGAAGGAACUAGGCAAAAUGGUGCCGUAACUUCGGGAGAAGGCACGCUGAUACGUAGGUGAAGUCCCUCGCGGAUGGAGCUGAAAUCAGUCGAAGAUACCAGCUGGCUGCAACUGUUUAUUAAAAACACAGCACUGUGCAAACACGAAAGUGGACGUAUACGGUGUGACGCCUGCCCGGUGCCGGAAGGUUAAUUGAUGGGGUUAGCGCAAGCGAAGCUCUUGAUCGAAGCCCCGGUAAACGGCGGCCGUAACUAUAACGGUCCUAAGGUAGCGAAAUUCCUUGUCGGGUAAGUUCCGACCUGCACGAAUGGCGUAAUGAUGGCCAGGCUGUCUCCACCCGAGACUCAGUGAAAUUGAACUCGCUGUGAAGAUGCAGUGUACCCGCGGCAAGACGGAAAGACCCCGUGAACCUUUACUAUAGCUUGACACUGAACAUUGAGCCUUGAUGUGUAGGAUAGGUGGGAGGCUUUGAAGUGUGGACGCCAGUCUGCAUGGAGCCGACCUUGAAAUACCACCCUUUAAUGUUUGAUGUUCUAACGUGGACCCGUGAACCGGGUUGCGGACAGUGUCUGGUGGGUAGUUUGACUGGGGCGGUCUCCUCCUAAAGAGUAACGGAGGAGCACGAAGGUUGGCUAAUCCUGGUCGGACAUCAGGAGGUUAGUGCAAUGGCAUAAGCCAGCUUGACUGCGAGCGUGACGGCGCGAGCAGGUGCGAAAGCAGGUCAUAGUGAUCCGGUGGUUCUGAAUGGAAGGGCCAUCGCUCAACGGAUAAAAGGUACUCCGGGGAUAACAGGCUGAUACCGCCCAAGAGUUCAUAUCGACGGCGGUGUUUGGCACCUCGAUGUCGGCUCAUCACAUCCUGGGGCUGAAGUAGGUCCCAAGGGUAUGGCUGUUCGCCAUUUAAAGUGGUACGCGAGCUGGGUUUAGAACGUCGUGAGACAGUUCGGUCCCUAUCUGCCGUGGGCGCUGGAGAACUGAGGGGGGCUGCUCCUAGUACGAGAGGACCGGAGUGGACGCAUCACUGGUGUUCGGGUUGUCAUGCCAAUGGCACUGCCCGGUAGCUAAAUGCGGAAGAGAUAAGUGCUGAAAGCAUCUAAGCACGAAACUUGCCCCGAGAUGAGUUCUCCCUGACCCUUUAAGGGUCCUGAAGGAACGUUGAAGACGACGACGUUGAUAGGCCGGGUGUGUAAGCGCAGCGAUGCGUUGAGCUAACCGGUACUAAUGAACCGUGAGGCUUAACCUU
rnacentral:rRNA from 1 species